rnacentral:rRNA from 1 species
UACCAGCACCCCGAGUGGUCGGGACGUUUAUUGGGCCUAAAGCAUCCGUAGCCGGUUCUACAAGUCUUCCGUUAAAUCCACCUGCUCAACAGAUGGGCUGCGGAAGAUACUAUGGAGCUAGGAGGCGGGAGAGGCAAGCGGUACUCGAUGGGUAGGGGUAAAAUCCGUUGAUCCAUUGAAGACCACCAGUGGCGAAGGCGGCUUGCCAGAACGCGCUCGACGGUGAGGGAUGAAAGCUGGGGGAGCAAAUGGG